UUAUACCAAGAAGAGUUUGAUCCUGGCUCAGGAUGAACGCUAGCGGCAGGCUUAACACAUGCAAGUCGAGGGGCAU
rnacentral:rRNA from 1 species